rnacentral:rRNA from 1 species
UACGGAGGGUGCGAGCGUUGUCCGGAAUCACUGGGCGUAAAGGGCGCGUAGGCGGUUCGUUAAGUCGUUGGUGAAAUCCCGGGGCUCAACUCCGGGGCUGCCGACGAGACUGGCGGGCUCGAGCACGGUAGAGGCAGAUGGAAUUCCCGGUGUAGCGGUGGAAUGCGUAGAUAUCGGGAAGAACACCAGUGGCGAAGGCGUUCUGCUGGGCCGUUGCUGACGCUGAGGCGCGACAGCGUGGGGAGCAAACAGGAUUAGAUACCCCCGUAGUCC